GGAGCAUGCAUUUACCACACUAGUGCAGAAUUAGCUUUUAACGUCACCCCUUAGACGUCAGUUAAAUGGGGGUCUGACAUAAAUUAAUGACUGGUGGCACUUUCGUAAAUAAGUUGCCAAUAUAGACGUCAGUUAAGAGGGGCCCCGACGUCUAUAAUAUUGUAGACGUCAGGGUCCUCAUAACCUAUGUCUAUAGGCCCUCAUAUACGUCGGCUCCCC
rnacentral:lncRNA from 1 species